AGGAUUGUAUCUUGAUUUUUGAAAAAACAUUCGGAAAAUUAAAGAAGUUAGAACUUGAGAAAAAAAAAACGGCAAUUCGCGAAAUAGGAUGAUCGGAAGCUCAAUGGUAGUUCCACUUCCAUUGGAACUGUCGAUCUUCACUUCUCUUUCCCAGUUUUUCCCUUAACCAAGAACAGAAAAAGAAAACUCACAGCCCCUCCGAAUGCAUCAUUUUUUUCUCUCUCUGUUUUCUCUCUCACUUUCUCUCAACUCUACAUAGAUCUCGAAUGGUCCCAAAAAU
rnacentral:lncRNA from 1 species